rnacentral:rRNA from 1 species
CCUACGGGCGGCAGCAGUGAGGAAUAUUGGUCAAUGGGCGAGAGCCUGAACCAGCCAAGUCGCGUGAAGGAUGACGGCCCUACGGGUUGUAAACUUCUUUUGUCAGGGAGCAAUUGGGUCCACGCGUGGGCUUAGCGAGAGUACCUGAAGAAAAAGCAUCGGCUAACUCCGUGCCAGCAGCCGCGGUAAUACGGAGGAUGCGAGCGUUAUCCGGAUUUAUUGGGUUAAAAGGGAGCGUAGGGGGGCGUUCAAGUCAGCGGUAAAAUCGCGCGGCUCAACCGCGCCCCGAAGUUGAAACUGGACGCCUUGAGUUCACAACAGGCAGGCGGAAUGCGUGGUGUAGCGGUGAAAUGCAUAGAUAUCACGAGGAACCCCGAUUGCGAAGGCAGCCUGCCGGGGUGCGACUGACGCUGAGGCUCGAAGGUGCGGGUAUCAAACAGGAUUAGAUACCCUAGUAGUC